ensembl:ncRNA C27A2.11 ncRNA
AUCCACAGCAACCACAUCCUCCUUGUCUUUUAACUCUGGAUGAUCCUAAUGUAUCAAUUGAUGUUUCAGAUGAUGAAGUGGUUGAAGCAGAUGAUGUUAUUAAUGCUACUUCUUUUGAGGACACUGGUAGUACUGCUGAUUGAACCUGCAAGGAUCUUCGAAUUCUACACAAGUCCCCUGAAACGUUGAUACCUGAGAAAUUGCGAUUAUUGCCAGAAUGGCGAAGGUGGAGCAGACGAGCUUGUUCAUGUUAAGUUCGAGUGUAUCAUUGAACCAUUCAUGCUUUCUUUUAUAUCACU